GAUAGGUCUCGUAGUCAGUCCAUUAUUAAUUAUUACAUAAAUCAGUUUUUUCUAUUAAGUAUUUAAUUGCCAAUUGUUAAGAGUAAAAUGGAGAGCUUAUAAUAUUAACAUGUGAUUAUUAAUUUGGGUCAAAGGUAAAAAGCUUUGAAAGUUUGAAACUAUGAAUUAUGCCACGUGGAUUGCACCAUUUGAUUUCUUUAAUCUUCUUUGUGUUCUAAAGAACAAAAAUAACGGCUAC
rnacentral:lncRNA from 1 species